GAUGAAGAACGUAGCGAAAUGCGAUACGUAAUGUGAAUUGCAGAAUUCAGUGAAUCAUCGAAUCUUUGAACGCAUAUUGCGCUCUUUGGUAUUCCGAAGAGCAUGCUUGUUUGAGUAUCAGUAAACACCUCAAAAGACUUUCAUUUUUGAAAUGAUUUUGGACUUGAGCAAUCCCAACACCAGUCUUCACGGAUCGGCGGAGGGUUGCUUGAAAUGCAGGUGCAGCUGGACAUUCUCCUGAGCUAAAAGCAUAUCUAUUUAGUCCCGUCAAACGGAUUAUUACUUUUGCUGCAGCUAACAUAAAGGGAGUUUGAACAUUUUGGCUGACUGAUGCAGGAUUUCACAAGGGUCGGUAAAACGAUUUUUGUAAAACUCGAUCUCAAAUCAAGUAAGACUACCCGCUGAACUUAAGCAUAUCAAUAAGCGGAGGA
rnacentral:misc_RNA from 1 species